rnacentral:lncRNA from 1 species
GGAAGAGAAAGAAAACAAGCACUCGGGAUAGAGGAGAGACCUGAACCGAGACGGGAACGUGAAACAGGCAUUGAGGGUCCGGUUUAAUCCCCCUCCAGAAAGCGGCACUUCACCGCAGGCACUGUGCGAGGAGGUGGGAGAGGGACUCGGCGAGGGAAGCGCGGCUCGUAAUCAUGUUUACUACCCGUCUGCUCUCCCGGGAGCAACGCACCACUACUUACCGUACGGGCUGGAGCGGCCGGGUAACGCGAUUCACCAUGGUGAGGAUGAACUGAUGCGUACACCCACCCAACCAACCUAUCCCAAUCAAGCCUAAUGAUAACCAUGGCAACGGAGAUACCACUCGCUGAGGAACAGGAACAAGCACGGGGGGCAGGGCAUCUCUCCCCAGUUCAACAGUUAUGAAGCUGCCUGAGUCUGUUUACCGCCGACUCGUUCUGGUC